UGGAAUUUCAAACUCUAGCAAACAGCAAG
rnacentral:piRNA from 1 species